rnacentral:rRNA from 1 species
AUAAACGCUGGCGGCGUGCUUAACCCAUGCAAGUCGAACGAAGUUUUUCUUUCGGGAGGAACUUAGUGGCGGACGGGUGAGUAACGCGUGGGUAACCUGCCCUGUACAGGGGGACAACAGCUGGAAACGGCUGCUAAUACCGCAUAAGCCCUUAGCACUGCAUGGUGCAUAGGGAAAAGGAGCAAUCCGGUACAGGAUGGACCCGCGUCUGAUUAGCCAGUUGGCAGGGUAACGGCCUACCAAAGCGACGAUCAGUAGCCGAUCUGAGAGGAUGUACGGCCACAUUGGGACUGAGACACGGCCCAGACUCCUACGGGAGGCAGCAGUGGGGAAUAUUGCACAAUGGAGGAAACUCUGAUGCAGCGACGCCGCGUGAGUGAAGAAGUAUUUCGGUAUGUAAAGCUCUAUCAGCAGGAAAGAAAAUGACGGUACCUGACUAAGAAGCACCGGCUAAAUACGU